rnacentral:rRNA from 1 species
AUUGAACGCUGGCGGCAUGCUUUACACAUGCAAGUCGAACGGCAGCACGGGGGCAACCCUGGUGGCGAGUGGCGAACGGGUGAGUAAUGCAUCGGAACGUGCCCUGUCGUGGGGGAUAACACAUCGAAAGAUGUGCUAAUACCGCAUACGACCUGAGGGUGAAAGCGGGGGACCGUAAGGCCUCGCGCGAUAGGAGCGGCCGAUGUCUGAUUAGCUAGUUGGUGGGGUAAAGGCCUACCAAGGCGACGAUCAGUAGCUGGUCUGAGAGGACGACCAGCCACACUGGGACUGAGACACGGCCCAGACUGCUACGGGAGGCAGCAGUGGGGAAUUUUGGACAAUGGGGGCAACCCUGAUCCAGCCAUGCCGCGUGCGGGAAGAAGGCCUUCGGGUUGUAAACCGCUUUUGGCAGGAACGAAACGGUGCGGGCGAAUACCCUGUGCUAAUGACGGUACCUGCAGAAUAAGCACCGGCUAACUACGUGCCAGCCGCCGCGGUAACAC